rnacentral:lncRNA from 1 species
CUGAAAUCCAAAAUGCUCUAAAGUGCAAAACUUUUUGGGCAUCAACAUGACUUUUAAAAGAAAUGCUCAUUGGAGCAUUUUGAAUUUCAAAUUUUCAGAUUAGUGAUGCUCAGCUAGUAAUAUUACUGUAAAUAUUCCAAAAUCUGAAAAAGUCUGAAACAUCUCUGGUCUCAAGCAUUUCAGAUAAGGGACACUCGAUCUACCAACAAAGGAGAGAGCCCCUUGAAAUCAAGGUUUAUUGAGCACAAUAUGAUGGUGUAGGCAUCUUUGGAGAUAUGCUAUCUGCAGGUUCAGCUUUGGAGAUUCAGAAGUGACAUGCACAUGCCUCUGACACUCUCAUGGAGUUCACAGUUGGAGAAGUCACCAGAAUGGAACCUUUUUGUUAAGCUUUCCCUUUACCUCAGAUAGACAGCUGUCCUUGACAAACACAAAGUCAGUCUUGGCUGUCUCAGAAAAGCACUGUGUGUCAAUGUCAGAGAGCCCAGUGGGCCUAGCAUAAGGUUCACAACAUUUCUAACUCUUCAAAUCAAGUAUUAUUUUGGAAGUUGCCAACUUAACAAGCAACUUUGACUCCAUGCAAACUAAAAAUGGCAUUUGAAAGUUGAAAUUUCAUUAAAUCUGCUGUUUUCUGAGACUUCAUCCAACUGGGACAUCUGUUUGUAACACCAAAG